AGUGAACGCUGGCGGUAGGCCUAACACAUGCAAGUCGAACGGCAGCACAGUAAGAGCUUGCUCUUACGGGUGGCGAGUGGCGGACGGGUGAGUAAUACAUCGGAAUCUACUUUUUCGUGGGGGAUAACGUAGGGAAACUUACGCUAAUACCGCAUACGACCUACGGGUGAAAGCAGGGGAUCUUCGGACCUUGCGCGAUUGAAUGAGCCGAUGUCGGAUUAGCUAGUUGGCGGGGUAAAGGCCCACCAAGGCGACGAUCCGUAGCUGGUCUUAGAGGAUGAGCAGCCACACUGGAACUGAGACACGGUCCAGACUCCUACGGGAGGCAGCAGUGGGGAAUAUUGGACAAUGGGCGCAAGCCUGAUCCAGCCAUACCGCGUGGGUGAAGAAGGCCUUCGGGUUGUAAAGCCCUUUUGUUGGGAAAGAAAAGCAGCAGGUUAAUACCCCGCUGUUCUGACGGUACCCAAAGAAUAAGCACCGGCUAACUUCGUG
rnacentral:rRNA from 1 species